rnacentral:rRNA from 1 species
UACGGAGGGUGCAAACGUUGCUCGGAAUCAUUGGGCGUAAAGCGCACGUAGGCGGCCUGUUAAGUCGGGUGUGAAAGCCCUCGGCUCAACCGAGGAAGUGCAUUCGAAACUGGCAGGCUUGAGUAUGGAAGAGGGUCGCGGAAUUCCCGGUGUAGAGGUGAAAUUCGUAGAUAUCGGGAGGAACACCAGUGGCGAAGGCGGCGACCUGGGCCAAUACUGACGCUGAGGUGCGAAAGCGUGGGGAGCAAACAGG